GCCUAAGUAGUUAAAAGGUCUAGAGAAUGCUGAAAAAAGGAGGAUUAUUUCCAAUAAUCUAUCAAUAUUCAUCAAGGGUUGAGAGGAUCAAUGGAGGCUAUUGUCAUCAGCAUAGGUCUAAUCUAGGAAGAAAAAGGAGAACCACAAGGAUAGAAGGUUGGAGUAUUUGAUUGAGAGUUUUUUUACAUAUUCUUUCUUCUACUCUGUCUUAGAUUUUUGUACUUUAAUUAUGUUUAUGGGAUAUAUGAUGAUGAUGUUUUC
rnacentral:lncRNA from 1 species